GCGCCGGCAUGGUGGAAAACUUGCACGCCAGCCUGAGGGAGAGAGAUGAAGGAGAGAGAGAGAGCUCGCGAGGGAGAGUGUCAAUUAAGGAAUCAAUUAAGGACACUCCACUGACUAUUUUGGAGUUCAUUGGCUUUAAUUGGAGGAGUAGAGAUGCCUGAGAAUUCCCAGCAGAGACUGAAACUAAGAAGCACUAAACCAGAAAUCUAGUAGGCUCAGUGGUGCAGGAUCCAUCUGCAGUGUGGGAGCCACAGGAGAGGAGGGUUCAAU